rnacentral:rRNA from 1 species
GCCCUUUGGCCUGUAANNNNNNNAGGAAACUUGNGCUAAUACCGGAUAAGUCUUUACGGAGAAAGCUUUAUGCACCAUUGGAUGAGCCCGCACUUGAUUAGUUUGUUGCUGGGGUAAUGGCCUACCAAGACUGUGAUCAAUAGCUGAUUUGAGAGGAUGAUCAGCCACAUUGGGACUGAGACACGGCCCAAACUCCUACGGGAGGCAGCAGUGGGGAAUCUUGCACAAUGGAGGAAACUCUGAUGCAGCGAUGCCGCGUGAGUGAAGAAGGCCCUUGGGNUGUAAAGCUCUNUCGUCGGGGAAGAAAAUGACUGUACCCGAAUAAAAAGGUCCGGCUAACUUCGUGCC